rnacentral:rRNA from 1 species
CCUACGGGAGGCAGCAGUGGGGAAUAUUGCACAAUGGGGGAAACCCUGAUGCAGCGACGCCGCGUGAGUGAAGAAGUAUUUCGGUAGGUAAAGCUCUGUCAGCAGGGAAGAAAAUGACGGUACCUGACCAAGAAGCCCCGGCUAACUACGUGCCAGCAGCCGCGGUAAUACGUAGGGGGCAAGUGUUACCCGGAUUUACUGGGUGUAAAGGGAGCGUAGACGGCAGUGCAAGUCUUGAGUGAAAGGCGGGGGCUCAACCCCCGGACUGCUCUGGAAACUGUACGGCUGGAGUGCAGGAGAGGUAAGUGGAAUUCCUAGUGUAGCGGUGAAAUGCGUAGAUAUUAGGAGGAACACCAGUGGCGAAGGUGGCUUACUGGACUGUAACUGACGUUGAGGCUCGAAAGCGUGGGGAGCAAACAGGAUUAGAUACCCGAGUAGUC